rnacentral:rRNA from 1 species
AAACCAGCACCUCAAGUGGUCAGGAUGAUUAUUGGGCCUAAAGCAUCCGUAGCCUGCUCUGUAAGUUUUCGGUUAAAUCUGUAUGCUCAACAUACAGGCUGCCGGGAAUACUGCAGAGCUAGGGAGUGGGAGAGGUAGACGGUACUCGGGAGGAAGUGGUAAAAUGCUUUGAUCUCUCGAUGACCACCUGUGGCGAAGGCGGUCUACCAGAACACGUCCGACGGUGAGGGAUGAAAGCUGGGGGAGCAAACCGGAUUAGAAACCCGAGUAGUCC